UGUAGCACCAACCGCUGCUUCUUUGUUCCAGUUGAGUUAUCCAACGUGUACCUCAUUUCUAGAUGGAUCUUCCUUCAAAGCAUCACCUCCAUAUGGAAUAAUGCGAUGGCUGCUUAACUAAAGCUUUAUCAGAGCUGGCUGUCACUCUGCAAAUGCUGGGUAAACUUGUUAUCACCAACAGUGCAUCCCUGAUGCACGCCUACACUGCAGAGCUUUACCCAACAGUGCUCAGGAACACAGCGACAGGCGUUUGCAUUACUGUUUCCAGAAUAGGAAGCUGCCUUGCUCCUUUUUUGUUAAGCUGAGUGAAUAUUUUGAGUACCUGCCUUAUAUCACACUGGGGACUCUGGCUGUUGUUUCUGCCUUUUCUGUUAUUUUCCUGGCAGAGAGUUUUGGACAACCUCAAACUAUUCAACAGAUGCAAAAAAGAGAAAGGUGGGUAGCUUAUGGGGUAAAAGAUGCAGUCACCGUAGCUGAAACAAACAAGAAGGUAUUGUACCAGAACAACCACAGAACUUCCUGAUACUGGAUGUUCAGACAAGAUAAUGGCAACAAAAACUGCAACAAAACAUCUCAUAUUAUUCUUUAAUAUAGCCACCAAAACCAACCCCUCCUUAUCCUCAUCAUCCACAUGACUCUUGAGAGGAUAUGAUGAUGGUGGCAUCACUUUUUAUAGUUUACGUACAUGUUUAUGAGGUUAAAAAUUGAAUUAGUAGAAAUUAAACAAUAUUCAAACAUUUCCUUUUUGCUGACAACCAAAUAAUGGUUUCUUUAUUUGCAUUUUAUCCCAACAGCUUGUAGUCCCCGUGCAUAACAAGAAAACAACAUUCAUAACUUGCUGUGCUUGACGAAAGUCGAUUGAUUGUCUUAAAAAUUGCUUAUAUAAACAUUGUACUAUUAAUUGUAUAUAAUUCAUACCAGUUACUGUUGUUCCUAAUCAACAUUACCUUCUGGUAAUUGCAAUCUGUAUUAAUCGAUUUAAUUACAUUUUUUAUGAGGAAUAACAUUGAAGUAAUUAAAGCUCGACCAAUACAUUUUGGAGUAUUUGUACAUGCACUUUAUGAAUGUUAUCACAAAUCACAUAGAUGUAUACAACACAUUAACAUGGAUGUGCUUUGCAACAUGAGUGUUUGGUGCUAAUUCUA